UACGUAGGGUGCAAGCGUUGUCCGGAAUUAUUGGGCGUAAAGAGCUCGUAGGCGGUUUGUCGCGUCUGCUGUGAAAACGCGAGGCUCAACCUCGCGCCUGCAGUGGGUACGGGCAGACUAGAGUGCGGUAGGGGAGAUUGGAAUUCCUGGUGUAGCGGUGGAAUGCGCAGAUAUCAGGAGGAACACCGAUGGCGAAGGCAGAUCUCUGGGCCGUAACUGACGCUGAGGAGCGAAAGCGGGGGGAGCGAACAGG
rnacentral:rRNA from 1 species